GAGCCUGUGCGGCCGGGGAGCUGAGGAACCGACCCCAGCCGUGCUCAGCGGCGACCCCCCGCCGCCCCGCCCCUGGCACCCCCGCCCACCAGCUCGCCCGAUCCUCACUCGUGAGUGUGACCACCCGAGAGUCUGUCCGUCUGUCGCUGCCGCUGCGCGGGAGAAGCCGGGACGCUCCGAGGCGCGGCGCCCGGGCCGCCGCUGCUAUAUAGGGCGGAGGCUCCAAUCCCGCCGAGACACGUCAGACCGGCCGCCCGCCCCGCCCGCUGCGGGGUCCCUACAGCGCCCGGGAGCGGACCAACUCUUUAAGAGUUCUGCGGCCUGACAGGGGGCGAGGAGUUGGUAAGUUAAUUACCUACAGAGAACAGGCAGGCCCCAGAGCCAGAGGUGCCAGAGUUGAGGCCACCAGAAACUGUGUCACCAAAAGAGAAAAGAAAGCUCUGAGGACCUCAGACAGCAGACAGCCCGGAAAACCAUUUUACCAUCCCCUAGAGCACCCCCUGAUGGAACACAUUCUCAUUCUCUUCGGGAUCUCUUCCUCCUGCUCCCACCUCUACUGCAAAUCCUUACUCCAUUCCUCAAUGUCCAACACAACAAACUCCAAAACUUUCGAAGCCCUCUACACAGUAUUAUUCAGUGUCCCAUAUGUACAGACCAGCCUGCAGUGAAUUCCUACCUCUCCCAUACUCAGUUGGGACAGAGCAGAACCUCUGCCCUCAGAAUGCUUCCUCCUUUGAAAGGACUAGUUCUGCCCUGUUGCGUUUAUUGACAACUACUUGAAGAAUUUGUACACAAUCAUUAUUUUGAACCUCUCCUGAGGUGACAUGAGCACACUUCUGACCUAUACUGGACAGUGAUAUGCAGUGAUAUGCAUCAGCACAGAAUAGGCUAGUAACCAACAGCAGAUGCCCCCACCUUCUUUUCCCCACUUCUGACAACUUUUCACUGUGUAGAUUUGUCUCAGCUUCCUUCUCUAGUGUUUGGAUUACAAGUGUGAGCCACCAGGUCUGGAUAAUAUGUGCCUUUCUUGUGGGACAAUGGUAUGUGGAAGGGCUGAAGAGGCCUUCUGUAGUUGUCAUUCUAAGGCUUACAAGCAUUUGCAGCAGUGAACAAAAUAAGCAAUCAGACUUAGUAUGUACUUAGAAGGUAGCAGCACGGUGAUGGGCUCUUGAUUGAGGGACUGGGAAGAGCUGCCCUAACUAGACUUUAGACUGAAGGACAAGGGGGGAAAAUGGAAUGUGCUGGAAAGAAUGGGGAUGGGGCUGCUGAAUAGGAAACUAUCUGAAAGUUGAGGUGUCAGAAUUGAGAAGUCCAGGAGCCAGUAAUGCGGCUGACAGGAACACCACAGUUCUUCAUGACAUAAAUCUCUGAAGGUACUGCUUAAAAGACCAGAGGGCAUUUCCAAGCUGCCAGCAUAGUCACCGAGUGAUAGAGCUUCUUAAAGCCUCUGUAGGCACCAAGUUGUCUUUCCUUCUGUGUUAUUAUUACUGUGCAAGGUGUCUUUCCCUGGUGAUUAACCAACCAGCAACUAGAAGAAAUGUUUUUGUUGUCAUUCUUUUGUUCCUGAGGUCUCGGGCUGUGAAAAAGUUAAUGUGGAGAGGCAAGCACCCACCAGUCAGUAUGUCUGCUGUCAAGGGAUCUCCAAUGGAGUUAGUAAGUCCACAUUAAGUACAAGCUGGCCCAGUGCCUGGCUGUACAGAGGCCUCCAUGAGUGUGGUGGUACCCUGUAAUCUCAGUACUCAGAAGGCUGAGGCGAGUACUGGGAGUUCAAGGUCACAGUAGGCUACAAAGUUAUAUGAUGUCUCAAAAAUAAAACAAAGCAUGGACUUAAUGAAAGCAUUAUUAAAUCAAGGAGGGUGUGGUAACAUUAGCUUAUCUCAGCACCUGAGAGGUACAGCCACGAGGGUUAGGAGCUCAAGACCAACCUGGCCUUUCUAUAUAAGACUUUAUCUGAAAUGAUAAACAUGCACCACAAAACAUCCCAGGUGCUCCUGGGAUGCUAACAAUUAUGACUAGUUACUUUCAGUAUACUGAAACAUAGAAGUGUCAACUCUAGAUGCCUCAAAAAGUGAACACUGGUCUGCAAUAUUUUGUUUUUCAUACAUCAAGGAACAUGGAAUAAGAAUCCUGAUUGCUAGCCAGGCGUGGUAGCGCAUGCCUUUAAUCCCAGCACUUAGGAGGCAGAGGCAGGCGUAUUUCUGAGUUCGAGGCCAGCCUGGUCUACAAAGUGAGUUCCAGGACAGCCAGGGCUACACAGAGAAACCCUGUCUCGAAAAACCAAAAACAACAACAAAAACAACCAAAAGAAUCCUGACUGCUUAAGGUGAAAUGUUAGAACAUAGUAACACUCUCCAAUUCCCCAAAUCAUGAUUCUCUAAAAGGGCUAUAGCCUAAACAGAAAGUAGGUCUAAGGGGAAAAUGAGAACACCAGCAACAUAGUAACAACUAGAUCUCUGGCUGGCCUGGGCUGAGAGACAAAAGCAUCUCUGGGGAGUGCUUAGAAACAUGGGACUACAAGUUCUUUAAAUCCCCAUUAUCCUUUAAAAAAAUUAACAGACAGGAAGUAGGUAUCCUCAAGAUGGAAUAAAUUUCAUAACAGGAUAAAAAUAUUGACAGAUCAAUUACAGUAUAGAAGCUGAAAGUCCAAAGUUCAAAGAGUAAGAUGCAAGAGGGAUGAAAACACGGCUCAGCAGUUAAGAGAACUUACUUAACAAUUAGGAGAACUGGAAUUUGGAUCCUAGCACCCAUGUAACAAACUGGGCAUCCAUAUAAACUUCUGUAGAGCACACACACACACACACACACACACACACACACACAGUGCAGACACACCCCUCUUUCUAAAAAGAGGGUAGAGAGAUGGCUUAGUGGUUAAAAGCCUUUGCUGUUCUUGUCAAGGACCCCAUCUUGAUCCCCAGCACCCACAUGUAAGCUCACAACUGUUUAUAACUCCAGAUCCAGGGUAUCUGGUGUUCUUUUUUGGUUUCCCUAGGCACCAUGUGAUAAGCAGACAUAAAUGCAGGCAAGACACACAUACACAUAAAAAUAAACUUAAACCCCACAGACUAAGUGUGUGGCACAGUGGUUAGAGCAUAUGAUUAACAUUCAUAAACCCUGGCUUUGCUCCCUAAUGCCAUAAAAAUUUGUAAAACUGCAAU
rnacentral:lncRNA from 1 species